AUCUUUGCACUUGGGGCAAUGACACACCUAGUGAGAUUCUAACCGAGGUGCGUCUAUUGCUGGUUGAAAACUAUUUCCAAACCUCCUCUUCGGCUUGAGCUUGACUCAGGCCGUCGAGAAUUUCUGGAAGAGCUCCCGUUAUUGGGGAAAGCU